rnacentral:misc_RNA from 1 species
CCGAGUUAUACAACUCCCAAACCCACUGUGAACCUUACCAGACGUUGCUUCGGCGGGACAGCCCCGGGCCCUCAGCGCCCGGAACCAGGCGCCCGCCGGGGGACACCAAACUCCACUGUAUCCAACGAGGAAUCAAUUCUGAGUGGCCUAACGGCAAGAAAAUGAAUCA